UUCCGGAUCCGUGCGGAAUGACGUGCAUGGACUGCUCUAACCAACGGCGUUGCUUCAAGUUGUUAGCUAUAAACUUUCCAGUCCCCAGAAGACAAGGUUCAGGAAAAAAAAACGUGUAUUUUGUUUGCGCUGCAAAAUGUAUGAAAAUAUGGAUGUGAGACAGAGAAAAGUGUUCAAACUGCCGACCAACACAGAGAAGUAUCGUGAAGCACAUCCCAACGACGGUUACAUCGGCGAGGAUCACGACGAAACCGACGAGUUUAGGAAGAUGGUGGACAGUUACAGCGAAACUGGGAGACAGAAGCUAUCUUCCAGAUAAUCCAAAGUGUCAGACAAGGGUUGUGAUGGCCAAAGAUCAGCACCUUCUCCUCGUGGGAAACACCAAAACCGUCACCCCGUCCCUGAUACACAGGUCUCAGACGCAUCCUCCUCUCUAUGUCAAGUUAAACAUCAGUUGAUUCUACAUACUGUGAAUUAAUGUCUCGCUCUCUCAUCUCUUGUCCUCUCUCUCUCUUUUGGUGUCAAACUAUGUCCAGGACUGUCUUUUGUUAAUAUUGAUUGGUCUGUAUUGGUAAUGUUGAAACAUGAAAUGUGUUUUCCAUCUAGUUAUUGAAAUAACCAUUUUGUUUAUGGAAAGUUAAUGCCUGUUCUCCUGUCUCAUCUGAGCUGUACUCUGUUAGUGACACUGAUCCCAGGUCAGUUUGGUAUUGGUCCCACUGUUGGGACGUGGGGAGAGAACCACUGCUCUAGGUUCAGUCUCAUCGUGUUAGUACACUCUUUCUCUUCAUGUCUCUUUCAAUUAAAAAAUAAAUAAAUUCAGUUUGCUUUAUUGGCACAACGUAAGAAUGUACACUACCGUUCAAAGUUUGGGGUCACUUAGAAAUAUCCUUGUUUUCUAAAGAAAAGCCCUUUUUUUUUGGUCCAUUAAAAUGACUUCAAAUUGAUCAGA